GCUAGCUCCUCCUCUAUGUAAGGCACUGUGCGAGCUUCAAUUCGGCGCUGCCGGCCAUCCUAUAUGUACCCCAUGGAUGGACGCCGGCCAUCGUUCGCUCUCUCCUCGCUCGCUCGCUCUGUACAGUUCAAUGAUCGAUCCGGCCGGUCUGCAUCCAUCUCGAUCGCCUAGAUAGCUCGCUACGAUCCAACAAGUUCAGAGAAAGAAAGGCCUAUUAAAGGAGCCCCUGCCUUCCUCCCGUCCUGCCCUCCCCCUCCUUUCGUCUCCUCUCCCAUGAAACCAAAGGGGUGGGUGCCUUCCUUCCUUCUCCACUGUUGUUCCUCUCGCUUAUUAUCAUCAGCGAGCUGUCCUCGACCUCGAGCGUGCUAGCAGUUUCAUUCCCAGUGUCGUCGUUCUUCCUCCUUAAUUUGCUUUGGUUGCCGUUGCUCUCUGACGACGACGUGAAAACUACUUCAUCAGUACAACUAGAGUUCGAUCGAGUUUUGCGGCUCACCCACUGUAGCAGAUGAUUUUGAGGACCAGCAUAGAGGCAGUUCUCUACUUCUCUUGACGAACCAAAUGAGGAGCGAAAGAUAGUAGAGGCAAAAAGAAGAAUGCAUCUUGCCAUCGUUUAUGCCAGCUUCAGCGCUGGCAUUUCCUGCAAACUCGAAAGCUGAUCAUGAACAUGCCCAAGGAAGACCGACCGAUCUACUACUACUACUACUACAUUGCAACUGUGGUUCUGGCUUCAGUGCUUGUAUAGCCUGUGAUAAAGAGCUUACCUUGAAAGGGUGCUUGCAGUCUGCAUGCAGAAAGAGCAUCUCGAAAAGACAGUUGGAGCAAGCUUUCACAUGUUUCUGCAUUCUGCUUUCCCUUGUCUUCAUUUUCCACACAGAAAAAAAAAACAUU